CUUGCUUCUCUUGCGAGCGGCGGACGGGUGAGUAAUGCCUAGGAAUCUGCCUGGUAGUGGGGGAUAACGUUCGGAAACGGACGCUAAUACCGCAUACGUCCUACGGGAGAAAGCAGGGGACCUUCGGGCCUUGCGCUAUCAGAUGAGCCUAGGUCGGAUUAGCUAGUUGGUGGGGUAAUGGCUCACCAAGGCGACGAUCCGUAACUGGUCUGAGAGGAUGAUCAGUCACACUGGAACUGAGACACGGUCCAGACUCCUACGGGAGGCAGCAGUGGGGAAUAUUGGACAAUGGGCGAAAGCCUGAUCCAGCCAUGCCGCGUGUGUGAAGAAGGUCUUCGGAUUGUAAAGCACUUUAAGUUGGGAGGAAGGGUUGUAGAUUAAUACUCUGCAAUUUUGACGUUACCGACAGAAUAAGCACCGGCUAACUCUGUGCCAGCAGCCGCGGUAAUACAGAGGGUGCAAGCGUUAAUCGGAAUUACUGGGCGUAAAGCGCGCGUAGGUGGUUUGUUAAGUUGGAUGUGAAAUCCCCGGGCUCAACCUGGGAACUGCAUUCAAAACUGACUGACUAGAGUAUGGUAGAGGGUGGUGGAAUUUCCUGUGUAGCGGUGAAAUGCGUAGAUAUAGGAAGGAACACCAGUGGCGAAGGCGACCACCUGGACUAAUACUGACACUGAGGUGCGAAAGCGUGGGGAGCAAAC
rnacentral:rRNA from 1 species